GUAGGGAAACAACUACAACCAACGCCAGCAUCGCUACUUAAUAGCAGUGAAUCUUGGGGUGGUUCUCUAGCCCUCUCUGAGGUCAGCUUUCUCCCCUGCAAAAUGGAGCUUGUGACACCAAGACACCAAGGCUAUGGGGACUAGAUAAGGGAAUAAAUAGUGCCGCAUCAAGGUCAGGAGCAGAGCAAGAGCCCAGAUGAUGCUUCUGCAGGUUAGAACACCUCAGUUUCCACAUUUAUUCUCCCUCCAAGACAGCGUCCUAAACCUCCAUCUUCCAAUUGCAGUCCUCCCAUCAGAUGCCACUGACCCUGAAAACAGAAGUAAAUUUGGAAGAGCCAGUGAUGGUGGAAUGAGGAAGAGAAGAUGAUGACGCAGCUCAGUUUCUUGCACUUGCAGCCUAGAGCACCCAACCAGGCAGGCCAUCUCCCAAAAUAACCUUCCCUCCAAACAGUCAGCUCCUUAU
ensembl:lncRNA